rnacentral:rRNA from 1 species
GUAAGGAAUAUUGGUCAAUGGACGAAAGUCUGAACCAGCCAUGCCGCGUGGAGGAUGAAGGUCCUCUGGAUUGUAAACUUCUUUUAUCUGGGACGAAAAAAGGGUUUUCUAACUCACUUGACGGUACCAGAUGAAUAAGCACCGGCUAACUCCGUGCCAGCAGCCGCGGUAAUACGGAGGGUGCAAGCGUUAUCCGGAUUCACUGGGUUUAAAGGGUGCGUAGGCGGGCAUGUAAGUCAGUGGUGAAAUCUCCGGGCUUAACUCGGAAACUGCCAUUGAUACUAUAUGUCUUGAAUUAUCUGGAGGUUAGCGGAAUAUGUCAUGUAGCGGUGAAAUGCUUAGAUAUGACAUAGAACACCCAUUGCGAAGGCAGCUAACUACGGGUAUAUUGACGCUGAGGCACGAAAGCGU